rnacentral:lncRNA from 1 species
GAAUUACAAGUAGUGCUUCUAGGUCAAGUGAAGUUUCACAUGCAAGGUUAGAAAUUCUCCUGGCAAUCCUGCCCCACCAGGGCUAGUUUCUUUACUGGUUUGCAACUGGCUCAAAUGCUUUGACAAGCCUGGCUUGACCACUUAACUACUGAAAGCUUUUCCAAGAUGUGUCCUGAAGCCAAGAUUCCUGACACAGACUUGGAAGUUCAGCCAGAGCUUCAGCACAAUUCAGGUGUGUAAAGAUUAUCUCUCAGCCUUUUGAUGCUUUCCUGAAUUCUACUUCUAUUGCUGCUCUGUAUGUUUUACCUUUAAAUAAAAGCCUUAUAUAGAUAUACUCUGUGAGGUUUGCUAGAUUUCU